GUCUCCUACGGGGGGCAGCAGUAGGGAAUCUUCCACAAUGGACGAAAGUCUGAUGGAGCAACGCCGCGUGAGUGAAGAAGGGUUUCGGCUCGUAAAGCUCUGUUGGUAGGGGAGAAAGAUAGAGGUAGUAACUGGCCUUUAUUUGACGGUAAUUACUUAGAAAGUCACGGCUAACUACGUGCCAGCAGCCGCGGUAAUACGUAGGUGGCAAGCGUUGGCCGGAGUUAUUGGGGGUAAAGCGGGUGCAG
rnacentral:rRNA from 1 species